AAUCAACGCUGGCGGCGUGCCUCAGACAUGCAAGUCGAACGAUUAAAGCUCUCUUCGGAGAGUGUAUAGAGUGGCGCACGGGUGAGUAACACGUAAGUAAUCUGCCUUUGAGUGGGGAAUAACCCGGGGAACCCGAGCUAAUACCGCAUAAUGCAGCGGCACCGCAAGGUGACAGUUGUUAAAGCGAGUAAUCGCGCUUAAAGAGGAGCUUGCGGCAGAUUAGCUAGUUGGUAAGGUAACGGCUUACCAAGGCUACGAUCUGUAUCCGGUCUAAGAGGACGGUCGGACACACUGACACUGAAUAACGGGUCAGACUCCUACGGGAGGCAGCAGUCGGGAAUUUUGGGCAAUGGGCGAAAGCCUGACCCAGCAACGCCGCGUGAAGGAUGAAGUAUUUCGGUAUGUAAACUUCGAAAGAAUAGAAGAAUAAAUGACGGUACUAUUUAUAAGGUCCGGCUAACUACGUGGCAGCAGCCGCAGUAAU
rnacentral:rRNA from 1 species